rnacentral:rRNA from 1 species
UACAGAGGUCUCAAGCGUUUGUUCGGAUUCAUUGGGCGUAAAGGGUGUGUAGGUGGCGCCGUUAGUCGGGUGUGAAAUUUCGGAGCUUAACUCCGAAACUGCAUUCGAUACUGCGGUGCUUGAGGACUGGAGAGGAGACUGGAAUUCAUGGUGUAGCAGUGAAAUGCGUAGAGAUCAUGAGGAAGACCAGUGGCGAAGGCGGGGUCUCUGGACAGUUCCUGACACUGAGACACGAAGGCCAGGGGGAGCAAACGGGG